rnacentral:rRNA from 1 species
CGCUCGACAUCUAGAGUUUUGAUCCUGGCUCAGGAUGAACGCUAGCUACAGGCUUAACACAUGCAAGUCGAGGGCAGCAUGAAUAUUGGCUUGCCAAUAUUUGAUGGCGACCGGCGCACGGGUGAGUAACACGUAUCCAACCUUCCGGUUACUCGGGGAUAGGCUUUCGAAAGAAAGAUUAAUACCCGAUGUUGCGUAUCUUUCUCCUGAAAGAUACGCCAAAGGAUUCCGGUAACCGAUGGGGAUGCGUUCCAUUAGGCAGUUGGCGGGGUAACGGCCCACCCAAACCUUCGAUGGAUAGGGGUUCUGAGAGGAAGGUCCCCCACAUUGGAACUGAGACACGGUCCAA